CAAGUACUCCCUCUGUCCGGAAUUACUUGUCAUCAAAAUGGAUGUGUCUAGAACUAAAAUACAUCUAGAUACAUCCAUUUCAAUGACAAGUAUUUUCGGACGGAGGGAGUACAAG
rfam:Triticum aestivum genome assembly, contig: Triticum_aestivum_CS42_TGACv1_scaffold_569837_7AS